rnacentral:rRNA from 1 species
AUCGAACGCUGGCGGCAGGCCUAACACAUGCAAGUCGAACGAGUGGCGGACGGGUGAGUAAUGUCUGGGAAACUGCCUAAUCGAGGGGGCUAACUACUGUAAACGUUAGCUACUACCGCAUACCAUCAGAUGUGCUCAGAGGGGAUUAGCUUGUUGCUGGGGUAAAGGCUCACCAAGGCGACGAUCCCUAGCUGGUCUGCGAGGAUGACCAGCCACACUGGGACUGAGACACGGUCCAGACUCCUACGGGAGGCAGCAGUGGGGAAUAGUGCACAAUGGGCGAAAGCCUGAUGCAGCCAUGCCGCGUGUAUGAAGAAGGCCUUCGGGUUGUAAAGUACUUUCAGCGGGGAGGCGUUACCCGCAGAAGAAGCACCGGCUAACUCCGUGCCAGCCGCCGCGGUAAUAC